AUUGAACGCUGGCGGCAGGCCUAACACAUGCAAGUAGAACGAGUGGCGGACGGGUGAGUAAUGUCUGGGAAACUGCCUGAUGGAGGGGGAUAACUACUGGAAACGGUCGCUAAUACAGCAUACCAUCGGAUGUGCCCAGAUGGGAUUAGCUAGUAGGUGGGGUAAAGGCUCACCUAGGCGACGAUCCCUAGCUGGUCUGAGAGGAUGACCUGCCACACUUGAACUGAGACACGGUCCAGACGCCGACGGGAGGCAUCAGUUGGGAAUAUUGCACAAUGGGCGCAAGCCGGAUGCAGCCAUGCCGCGUGUAUGAAGAAGGCCUUCGGGUUGUAAAGUACUUUCAGCGGGGAGGCGUUACCCGCAGAAGAAGCACCGGCUAACUCCGUGCCAGCAGCCGCGGUAAUUC
rnacentral:rRNA from 1 species